rnacentral:rRNA from 1 species
UACGGAGGGUGCAAGCGUUAUCCGGAUUUACUGGGUUAAAGGGUGCGUAGGUGGGUCUGUAAGUCAGUGGUGAAAUCUCCGGGCUUAACCCGGAAACUGCCAUUGAUACUAUAGGUCUUGAAUAUCCUGGAGGUGAGCGGAAUAUGUCAUGUAGCGGUGAAAUGCUUAGAUAUGACAUAGAACACCAAUUGCGAAGGCAGCUCACUACGGGAUUAUUGACACUGAGGCACGAAAGCGUGGGGAUCAAACAG